rnacentral:SRP_RNA from 1 species
GCUGGGCAUGGUGGCACGUGCCUGUAGUCCCAGCCACUUGGGAAGCUGAGGCAGGAGGAUUGCUUGAGCCCAGGAGGUCGAGGCUGCAGUGAGCGAAGAUUGCGACACUGCACUCCAGCCUUGGUCACAGAGUGAGACCCUGUCUCAA